AAUCUUCCACAAUGGACGAAAGUCUGAUGGAGCAAUGCCGCGUGAGUGAAGAUGGGUAUAUGCACGUAAAACUCUGUUGUUCAAGAAAAACACUCUUGAGAGUAACUGUUCAGGAGUUGACGAUAUUUAACCAGAAAGCCACGGCUAACUACGUGCCAGCAGCCGCGGUAAUACGUAGGUGGCAAGCGUUGUCCGGAUUUAUUGGGCGUAAAGCGAGCGCAGGCGGUUUCUUAAGUCUGAUGUGAAAGCCUUCGGCUUAACCGGAGAAGUGCAUCGGAAACUGGGAGACUUGAGUGCAGAAGAGGACAGUGGAACUCCAUGUGUAGCGGUGGAAUGCGUAGAUAUAUGGAAGAACACCAGUGGCGAAGGCGGCUGUCUAGUCUGUAACUGACGCUGAGGCUCGAAAGCAUGGGUAGCAAACA
rnacentral:rRNA from 1 species